UUAAAGAUUUACAAAACUUAUUAGGAUUAUUUAUAUUAUUUAUUAUUAAAAUUACAUUAAGUAUAUUUUAUUUAUCAGCAUUUUCAGGUAUCCUUACUUAUAUGUGUUUCAUAAUUUUUGCAUCUUCAGGGUGGCUUGCUGCACAGUUUACCUUUAUUAACUGAAGCGAUUUCUGUUGCUGAACCAUCUGUUGUUUGUUUGCAAGAACAAGCUUCAACUUCAUCUUGUGAUAAAAUGCCAUCUAUUUGUGAAGGAUCUCAUGUUUGUUUGCAAGAACAGCCUUUAGCCUCAUUUUGCAAUGAAAUACCAUCUAUUUGUG